UUUCAUUUUUAAUCUUUAGAGCAUGUGACGGUUGCUUUCAAAAGUGGUUUUCCCGUUAUUUCCAUACCUCUUCCGUCCAGACGUGAAACAUGUGAAUUUACUCUGCGACCACUGAGUCACACAGUGAGAGACUUCCUCCAAGAUCUGCAAGCAGAAGACAGAGGCAUUGAAAGAGCCACUGUUUACAAUGAGGAUGGUUCUAGAAUCUCAGGAGGCACAGGGGUGGAUGUUUUACUGCAAUCCAACUUUAAGCUGGUCUUAAAUGAUGAUUCGUAUCUUGUUAGUGUUCCUGACGAGAGUAAACCUCCCAUUGAUGACUUCCGGACGGUUGCUCACAUCAAAACACUUGUUCAUCAGUUGUACAGUGCAAUGAACAUUGAAGAACAUCAGCUGGAAAAAGAGA